AUGUACAACGCAUGCGUUGCGGCUCCAAGCGCGCUGCCCGCACCUAACUGACGACUGCUCGCGACGUAUUAUUUUCC
rnacentral:sRNA from 1 species